rnacentral:lncRNA from 1 species
AAAAUUUGACUGGACUGUUCUGCUCAUGUUAAUUGAUGGACCUAAAUAAAUCGCCUGACAAAAUAUUAGUAUAAUAGAUUAAUGGGGUAGGGUUGCUCGCCCAUUCUGUGUAGAUAAGGUUUAUAAUUUGGAAUGCCGGGUAAGUUCUCAACAAGUAACACCCUGAAGUUUCAUUCUAAUUUCAUCAUGUGGUUUGGUGCAUGAGGAGAUUUUUUAUAAUAAUCAUAACAAUUUCUUUCCGAUGAGAAUAUAAGCUGAAACUAGACACAUCCUCAUCAGGUAAAUUGAUUCAUGUUCUUAAUUCAUGUCGAGGCAACAAGAACAAACUAAAUAUUUUGUAGGCCAGAGUUUUGCUGAUACUCUUGCUAGCGUAUUUGUU